AAUUUAGCUUGAUUAUGUUGGAAUCCGGUACUCGCCCCGGUACCAGAUUUUGAGAAUCCGCAACCCGCUCCGAUACCGCUGUGGAUCCGGUAUCGAUUGUUGGGAUUCCGCAACGGAAGUGUCGACUCGAGUUUUUACCAUAAACCCGUAUCUUCAGCAAAAGCUGAUACAAUCACAAAAGAGAGAAAAAAUCAAAAUAAAAAAAUAUGCGGGUAAAAUAAGAUUCACACCUGAAUCUUCUUCUGCAACUGAGUAGCUACAACCCGAGCCCUCUUUUUGAAUCUUUUUUAUCCUUUUCUCGUCUUUUAUAAACCUAAAAGACAACUCUCUUUCUCUCUCACAUGCACCUGUGCACUAGGUGCAUACAACCGGCCAACUCUCUCUCUCUCUCUCUCUCAUACAACCCACCAAAGAGCUUAAGCUUUUUUGCCGUACUCGCACUCCAAAAGCACCCCACAUAGUGCUUAUAUAAUGCUUAUAAUAAGAGCAUGUUUGGUUGCUCGACAGUCGGCGAAGUGGCAAAAGUUACUUUUAUAAAAGUGACUUUUACAAAAGUGACUUUUCAGUUCAAUUGUUUAGUUGCUAUAAAGUAAAAAAAUUAAAACAAUAAUUUUAUAAUUUUUUUAUUAUUAAAUAUAUAAAGAGGUGAAAAU
rnacentral:lncRNA from 1 species